ensembl:lncRNA
CCGGCCAUGAACAUUGUUCCCAUAUCUGACGCCUCACCAGCUAUAGUAUGUUGACAAGGGCCAAAGGGGCCCCUAGUGCUGAGGCCUGGGGUUCCACAGGAUCCACAGGGACCGUACAGGAGGGUCCACAGGGCCGGCAGACAUCCAUCACCAAUCCGCCCAAAGCUACCAUGAUGGUCCAGACCAGAGCUCCAGAGGAGACCGUUCACUAUCAAACUCACCUCAUCAACGUGAAGGAAUCAAAUGUUUACAUGGACUCCCCACGCAGCAUCAACCCCCUCCCCUUUCCUGACAUCAUGCCCAGUGGCUCCUCCCAGCCUGAGCUCCCUCAUGCAUCGACACAAGCACCACAGACAUCCCCCACAGCCCAUACCAGGGGGG